AGCAGCGUGGCUCAGUGGAAAGAGCACGGGGUUGGGAGCUGGAGAUCAUGGGUUUGAAUCCCAGCUCUGCCA
rnacentral:tRNA from 1 species